CUGCCGUGAGGAGAGUGUCUCUCACGUGGCCAAUUACUCCCGUCCCUCCGGCCCCAGGACCCCCAUCCCAAUCGCCCAUCGCAGCUCUGUUUACAGAAGGUAACACCAUUGGGCCCACCAGCAAGGCAACACAGGUUUCAGAAAGGUCUGACUUGUUCUGUGCGCACUCCAGGGAUCCGUCCUCUGGCCGCGUUGAACGGGUCCUCCCCUUUGGCUUGGGAAGGCCCAGUCGGAGCGCACGCGCACCGACACGCGCACGCGCAGGCACGUUCAGGCGCUUCCUCUGAGCCCGUGCUGCCUCCGGGGAGACCAAUAGCACAGAAAGGCAAGAAUCCAAGGUCUGGGGACUCCCCCUCCUGGUCUGGGGACCCAGGACAGCCCCGGCUCCGCCUCUCCUGCUGGGAACCCAGAACGCUUCCCUAAAAACAGGGCCCUCCGGUGGGCAAAACUCCAUCACUGAGCCGGGGAUCUGGACCAGGUUGGCCCCGGGGCCCUUUGUAGAACGCGUUCGCCCACCUGGAUCUAAGCAUCUCUAAUCUCCUGUCUCCGCGGAACGCGCUCUGACAGCGGCUAGUUCCUGGACGGUGUAGAUUGGCUCCCAGUGACAGCCUCCAUCCCUCCUCACUUAGCCUAGAGCAACUCGGUUAAAAUUAAACGUACUUCACCUCUUUACCUUGGUCUUCUCUGUCUCUCCUGACGGAAGCUAAGCCCCAGGGGUCUUAUCCCUCUUGCCAACCUGUGGGGUAGUUUCUGCAUCUACAUCUAGAACAGGACCGGGUUUCUCAUAAUAGUGCUAUUAAUACUUGUUGAAUGGAUGAAGCCUUCCGUAAAUAGAUACUCUAAGCAACUCUGCCGUCUUUGAAAUUCUGUAGUUAGAGAGGACACCUUCAACUUGAAGCAAAUAGGGGGAUGGUCCUCGGCUAGAAGGCAAACGCCCCAGGCAUGUGGGCAGCGCACACAAAGCU